UGGGGAAUCUUGCGCAAUGGGCGAAAGCCUGACGCAGCAACGCCGCGUGUGUGAUGAAGGUCUUCGGAUCGUAAAGCACUGUCGCGGGGGAAGAGACGCCAUUUGAUAACACCAGAUGGCUACGACGGUACCCCGAGAGGAAGCACCGGCUAACUCUGUGCCAGCAGCCGCGGUAAUACAGAGGGUGCGAGCGUUGUUCGGAAUUAUUGGGCGUAAAGCGCUUGUAGGCGGUCGUCUAAGUCUCAUGUGAAAGCCCUUGGCUCAACCAAGGAAGUGCAUGAGAUACUGAACGACUCGAGUGCCGGAGAGGGUCGCGGAAUUCCCGGUGUAGAGGUGAAAUUCGUAGAUAUCGGGAGGAACACCAGUGGCGAAGGCGGCGACCUGGACGGACACUGACGCUGAGACGCGAAAGCGUGGGGAGCAAACAGG
rnacentral:rRNA from 1 species